rnacentral:tRNA from 1 species
GGAGAAGUACCCAAGUGGUUGAAGGGGAUGGUCUCGAAAACCGUUAGGGGUCGCAAGGCCCGCAAGAGUUCGAAUCACUUCUUCUCCGCCA